AUGAACGCUAGCGGCAGGCCUAAUACAUGCAAGUCGAACGAGAUUAAGAGGCUUGCUUCUUAUGAAAGUGGCGCACGGGUGCGUAACGCGUAUGCAACCUACCUUAAUCAGGGGGAUAGCCCGAAGAAAUUCGGAUUAAGACCGCAUAAAAACACAGGAUAGCAUUAUCCAAUGUUCAAAUAUUUAUAGGAUUAAGAUGGGCAUGCGUGUCAUUAGCUAGUUGGCGGGGUAACGGCCCACCAAGGCGACGAUGACUAGGGGAUCUGAGAGGAUGACCCCCCACACUGGUACUGAGACACGGACCAGACUCCUACGGGAGGCAGCAGUAAGGAAUAUUGGUCAAUGGAGGGAACUCUGAACCAGCCAUGCCGCGUGCAGGAAGACAGCCCUCUGGGUCGUAAACUGCUUUUAUUCGGGAAUAAACCUUUCUACGUGUAGGAAGCUGAAUGUACCGAAGGAAUAAGGAUCGGCUAACUCCGU
rnacentral:rRNA from 1 species